GUAGAGGGGGGUAGAAUUCCAGGUGUAGCGGUGAAAUGCGUAGAGAUCUGGAGGAAUACCGGUGGCGAAGGCGGCCCCCUGGACAAAGACUGACGCUCAGGUGCGAAAGCGUGGGGAGCAAACAGGAUUAGAUACCCUGGUAGUCCACGCCGUAAACGAUGUCUACUUGGAGGUUGUGCCCUUGAGGCGUGGCUUCCGGAGCUAACGCGUUAAGUAGACCGCCUGGGGAGUACGGCCGCAAGGUUAAAACUCAAAUGAAUUGACGGGGGCCCGCACAAGCGGUGGAGCAUGUGGUUUAAUUCGAUGCAACGCGAAGAACCUUAC
rnacentral:rRNA from 1 species